GAUGAACGCUGGCGGCGUGCCUAAUACAUGCAAGUCGAGCGAACAGACGAGGAGCUUGCUCCUCUGACGUUAGCGGCGGACGGGUGAGUAACACGUGGAUAACCUACCUAUAAGACUGGGAUAACUUCGGGAAACCGGAGCUAAUACCGGAUAAUAUAUUGAACCGCAUGGUUCAAUAGUGAACGACGGUUUUGCUGUCACUUAUAGAUGGAUCCGCGCCGCAUUAGCUAGUUGGUAAGGUAACGGCUUACCAAGGCAACGAUGCGUAGCCGACCUGAGAGGGUGAUCGGCCACACUGGAACUGAGACACGGUCCAGACUCCUACGGGAGGCAGCAGUAGGGAAUCUUCCGCAAAGGGCGAAAGCCUGACGGAGCAACGCCGCGUGAGUGAUGAAGGUCUUCGGAUCGUAAAACUCUGUUAUUAGGGAAGAACAAAUGUGUAAGUAACUAUGCACGUCUUGACGGUACCUAAUCAGAAAGCCACGGCUAACUACGUG
rnacentral:rRNA from 1 species